UACGAAGGGGGCGAGCGUUGUUCGGAUUUACUGGGCGUAAAGGGCGCGCAGGCGGCGGAUCAAGUCAGACGUGAAAGCCCCGGGCUUAACCUGGGAACUGCGUUUGGGACUGAUUUGCUAGAGAUCGGGAGAGGAGAGUGGAAUUCCCAGUGUCGAGGUGAAAUUCGUAGAUAUUCGCAAGAACACCAGUGGCGAAGGCG
rnacentral:rRNA from 1 species